rnacentral:ncRNA from 1 species
AAAAGGUAUUUUUGGCCUUAUUUUAUUAUGAAUUUUUAUUUUACAUGCAUAUUUCAGAGGAAAGUAAUGGUUUAAAUAAAAUGUAAUUUUAUUCGCAGUAAGAAGAUUUAUAUAUUAAUGGAAUUUAGAUAUAGUAAAUAAUUUUAGUACAAACAAAGUUUGUGCCAGCAGUUGCGGUUAGACUAACUGUGCAAUAAAAAAUAUUUAGCAAGAGAGGAUUUUAAAUUUAGAGUUUAAUGAUUAUAUUAUUAAGUGAAAUUUUUAAUAUUUAGCAAUUUUUGAUUUUUAAUCUCAGAAGAUUCAUAAGUAAACUAGGAUUAGAUACCCUAUUAUUGGAAAAGUGGAUUAUGUAAUGCUUGAUUAGUAGUAGUUUAUUUUCUUGAAAAUCAAAAAAGUUGGCGGUAUCUUAGUCUAUUCAGAGGAACCUGUUCUGUAAUUGAUAAUCCACGAUUUUAUUGACUUGGUUUAUUAGCUUAUAUAUCGCCGUAGGUUGAAUAUUUUUAUAUGACUUUAAAUAUUCAAGAUUUUUAUUAAAAGAAAUUCAGGUCAAGGUGUAGUUUAUAACUAAGUAGAAAUGGGUUACAGUAUUAAACGUGGAUGAUUUUUUGUAAUAAAAAUUUGAAAGUGGAUUUGAGAGUAAUUGUUAAUAAAUUUUAAUAAUGAUUUAAGCUCUAAGAUAUGUACAUAUCGCCCGUCGCUUUCACUCUAAGGUGAAAUAAGUCGUAACAUAGUAGGUGUACCGGAAGGUGUCUCUAGAAAGAU